rnacentral:rRNA from 1 species
UUGAACGCUGGCGGCAUGCCUUACACAUGCAAGUCGAACGGUAGAGGGGCAACCCUUGAGAGUGGCGAACGGGUGAGUAAUGCAUCGGAACGUGCCCAGUCGUGGGGGAUAACGCAGCGAAAGCUGUGCUAAUACCGCAUGUGAUCUGUGGAUGAAAGCAGGGGACCGCAAGGCCUUGUGCGAUUGGAGCGGCCGAUGUCAGAUUAGCUAGUUGGUAGGGUAAAAGCCUACCAAGGCGAC